CGUUGCACGUUGCGUUGUAUUCACUUUGAGAUAAAAAUCAGAGAAGAAGGAGUGUAUUAAGGUGGUUGACUUAUACUUCAAGGUGUAUAUUCUCUUAUACAAGCUAAGAGGAACCGUUUGACGAAGUGGAUUUUGGUUGAUCUAUGACAUAGAGAAAUUGAACUCCUCGAGUGGUGGUAGAACUUGUUGUGUGCUAAAACGCCAAGGUGAUGUGCGAGACGGGAUAUGAAGAUGGCCAUGUGGAGUAGACUUUUUGGGAGCUCUUUUGAAGAUCACAUAUGCAUAUACAUCUAGUUUUUGUAUAUUAUUUUGGGGACUUGUACAUGAUACAUGUGUGGCACUUAUGUACGAAA